UGGCCGGCUAGCUCUCCUCUCUUCUCACUUUGCUCUCUUUUUCUUUUUCAUUUUGUCUCAAACACCCACAAUCCUCUCUCACACUCCCUCACUCUCGCACCGGUGCAUCACUCCACCAUCUCCACCAUUAUCUUCCGGCGAAAAAGCUCCAUAAAACCUCUUAAGCUCCUACAUCUCAUCUUAUUUAAGGUUCUAAUUAAUUUCAUUUGGAGCUUGGAAAAUUAGGCUUUUGCGGAUUGCAAGGUAAGUAGCUUUUAAUGGGAUUUUUGGAAAAUAAUCAUGUUGUAUAAACAUUGUUUUGGAUCAAACACAUUUUGGAAAAUGAAUGGUGGAACUAUGUUUUUCUAAAAAGUGUUGUGUUAUGACUCUACUAUAUAAGAUUAUAUAUGAAAGUGCAUAUUCUUAUUGCAUAUGGGGAAUUGCAUGAUUUGUUAGCAUGGAAAAGACUAGCAUCUUUGAUUAAAUUCUUGAGAAUGCGUUUUAUGGAAUUAUUGUAUUAUUUGCAAAAAUAUAAAGAUGUUUUAUCUUGACCUAUGUUAUUUGGGAAGUUAAUACAAAAUCUUUUUGACAAGAAAUGAGUUGAAGGUUUUGAGAACCCUGUAAAUAUCUUGGGCGUUCAAAUAUUUUAUAAAACUACUUGAAAGUAAAUUAUGUAUUUCGAAUUAAAAGUAAUUUGUAAGCUCUUUAUGUUUUACCCACAUGCUGUGACAUGUGAUUACCCAGUGAUUACCUAGUUAGAUACUAUAGUCUGUGUGACAUUGGUAUCUUAGCACCCGUCUUUGUGAUGGUUAUUGAGUUCCGUCUUUGUGACGGCAUAUUAGUUUCGUCUUUGUGAUGGCAUAUUUAGUUCUGGCUGUGUGUCGGCGAUGAGUUCCGUCUUUGUGAUAGAAGAUUAGUUCUAUCUUUGUGACGGCUUAUCAUGUGGCCUUGGGUAUGAAAUUGUAUUGUUAUUACUCACAAAUUAUAGUAUGUAGUUUCAUGAGAGCAUUCUAAGAAGCUUUGUGCCAUGUCAUUUUAUUCAUUCUUGUCAUGUUCUUUUUGGAAAUGGUUUUGUAGAAAUUACUUGGAAAUUCUCAAAUUAAAACAUGAUUUGUAAAUUGUUAUCAUCAUGAAACUUGUAUUUCCCCCACCCCCAUUAAUUAUGCUACUUACUGGACUGUCUCAUCCUAUUAUUUUAUUAACUUUUCAGAGUAGACAACAAUCUUUUGAGACAACUUUUUAGUGGUUAACAGCAGUUAGACUAACUACUGAUGGAGGCUGAAUAUUUGUAAUGGAGAUAUUAGAUGAUGUACAUCUUAGAAUAGACCUGACUCAUUCUUUUGUAUAUUAUAGUGGUUGUGACGUUAUUCCCACUAAUGGGACAAGCUGAUGAUAUGUAAUUAUUUAUUUAGACCUCUAUUCUUUUGUAGCCAAUGGUCUUUGUAAUUAU